AUGUUUGCCGUGAUCGUUGCUAACCUAAUAAGAUAUGCGGUGGCGCAAGGUGGUGGCGGCAAUGGGGCGGUUGUGCUGCAUGUCCAAGGCUGCACUAGGGAGGCGCGAGCGGUGCCUCCCGCAAGAUUCCAUUGGGGCGACGCAUGGGCGGUAGCCACCCCCAAGACCCUGUUAGCACAAUUUCAUAAUAAUAUAUUUAUACUGAUUGUUGUGCAAAAUAGAACGCUAUUGUUUGUAGUUAUAUUAGUUUAUUUCCUCUAUAUACAAUGA
rnacentral:rRNA from 1 species